rnacentral:rRNA from 1 species
CCCUUGAAGACGACGAGGUAGAUAGGGCAGAGGUGGAAGUGCAGUAAUGCAUGGAGCUGACUGUUACUAAUAGGUCGAGGGCUUAACCAAG